GUGCCAGUAGCGCGGUAAUACAGAGGGUGCAAGCGUUAAUCGGAAUUACUGGGCGUAAAGCGCGCGUAGGUGGUUUGUUAAGUUGGAUGUGAAAUCCCCGGGCUCAACCUGGGAACUGCAUCCAAAACUGGCAAGCUAGAGUACGGUAGAGGGUGGUGGAAUUUCCUGUGUAGCGGUGAAAUGCGUAGAUAUAGGAAGGAACACCAGUGGCGAAGGCGACCACCUGGACUGAUACUGACACUGAGGUGCGAAAGCGUGGGGAGCAAACAGGAUUAGAUACCCGGGUAGUCC
rnacentral:rRNA from 1 species